GCACUAUCACGUCCUAAAGCAUAUGCGGUCAGCAGCGGCCGGAAGAGGCAAGGGGACUGCAGCACGCUCGAGCCGGCGAUGACAUCAUGUUCUCACUCCACACCACCUUGCCUAAAGCGAAGGUCAAGAAAGGAGAAGCCUGACUUUAUUUUGUAUUGUUGGUGGUUUGUUUAAAAGGAAGCUUACAGUUUACCUACAUGUCAUUUCUGCUAAUAUAUUACAGGU